CAGAAUCCUCGCUGGCAGGGACUGCGAUUCCCAGAGCCCCUCGCGGUUGGUGGAGGGUCCCAAGCCAGCGGCAGCGGUAGCGACGUGCUGCCUCUCUGCAGAGUUGUGGUGCUGUGUCCCCCAAAGCGGAAGGAUACUUGGUUCUCGGUACCAGUUUUUGGAUUCAGGCAUGCUCUCACCACCAUUAGCAGUGACCCUCCAGAGACUUUGUACGCUUCAUUCCCAAGGGUGACAGACUUCACUGACAGAGGACAGAGCGUCUUACACUUGAUUAUAAGCUACAGAUAUGACGUGGGAAACGUGCUCCUUCUGUCCAGAGGCCCAGAGGUCAGAAGAGGAGCCGCUGUCUUUUUAAGGGUGUUGACACUUGCGGAAGAGGCAGGGCUGCUGUUAUCACCACAGAAGGGGGAGGAGUACGAGUGGAUUCAGAGACACCUAAAAUUGGGACAAACGGAUCUAAAGGAGGGAGGGACUGUGUCUUCACUAGAUGCGUCACCCAGAUCCCUCCUCAAGGACUAGCUGCCCAGAUUUUUCAGAGUUGGCCGCCGCUGCAAAGAGCCGAUUCGCCUGCGAGUACGCCCUUCCUAAGGCAGCUUCAGAUGACGGAGCAACUCAAGCCUGUAAAACCUAAUCUUGGCCCAAGAUGAGACACUGUUAUGAAGAGUAUUUGUUUCAGAGCUUCCGUACUGGCUUGGCAAAGAUUGCAACAACUACACUGCAUUCUGACUUCUUCCUACUGAUUCUCCAAUCACUUCACAGCCAUUGAUCCUCCAUAAACAUCCUGCACCCAAAACUUCACCUUAGUAUCUGCUUGCAAAGAACCCAAUUUACGACUUUCGUAGGGAUAUAUGGGUUGUAAGUAACAAACACAACCUGAACCAGCUGAAGCAAACUUGGGGAUUUAUUCGAAGUAUCUUAUAGAAGAAUCCGAUGAUGAAGGCAUGAAAAGGGCAGAGAUGAAUAUGCACGUCAAGAACCAGAUUUUGGGACUCACUCAGGGCUGUUCCAUGGCUUUGCUUCUAUAAUGGCUUCAUUCUUCUCUCUCAUUGCAGACUACGCUUCUCCGUGUGGUAGAAAACAUGGGUACAGAUAAGCACUCACAUUUAUAUAGUAAAUCUUCAUUGCUCAAGUUAUACAGACAAGAUAGUCCCAGCUUUCCAGAAGCUUUCUCAUGGAAAAGAUACAACAUGCAAUGAUUAUAUUAUCCAGUGACAAAUACAGGUACAGGUUCAUAUAGAUUAGAUAGGCAUUAACAAAAAACAGGAGCAUUUCAGUGGCAGAUUUGCAAAAAGCAUCUGAAUGUAGAAAUUUCAAGGAACUGCAAGUACAAGGAGGCCAAAAAGUAGUGUGUAGGAGAAAAAGUAUUCAGAAAUGGAGAUGCAUGUAUUUGUAUGAAAGUCCUCACAUACCAUAAACAUAUUACACUUUCUUUCUGAAGUCCACAGUUAGCCACAUAAUAUUUCAACACAGGAGUGUGAUUGCAUCCUAAAAUAACAACUAUAUAUGAGUGUGAAAAUAGACUAAAAAAGGAUGAAGGCAUGGUUGCAAAAAGUAUGCACAGAGUUGCAAAGGGCCAUGGUUGAGUUACUUAGCAAUUAGUCAAGUAGAUACUAGUAAUGAACAUCUGAAAGGUUACUACCAUAUUUGUAGUCUAAGAAACCCACUGAAAUUGAAAAACUUGGGUAUAUAUUUCUGAAAUAUAUGACAAAAUAAACGACUGUGGUCUCAAGUAUGGAAA